ACGGGGUGCAGCAGGCGCGAAACCUUUACAAUGCACGAAAGUGUGAUAAGGGGAUUCCACGUGCAGACUAUGUCUGCUUUUCUCAAGUUUAAAACCCUUGGGGAAUAAGGGCUGGGCAAGACCCGUGCCAGCCGCCGCGGUAAUACGGGCAGCUCUAGUGGCGUUCGCGAAUAUUGGGCCUAAAGCGUGCGUAGCCUGUUAAACAAGUUCUUGGUGAAAGCUUGCAGCUUAACUGUGAGAGUUGCCAGGAAAACUGUUUGACUUGGGACCGGAAGAGGUCGGAGGUAUUCUAGGGGUAGGGGUAAAAUCCUGUAAUCCUUAGAGGACCAUCGGUGGCGAAGGCGUCCGACUGGGACGGGUCCGACGGUGAGGCACGAAAGCUAGGGGAGCGACCCGGAUUAGAUACCCGGUUAGUCCUAGCCGUAAAUGAUGUCUGUUUGGUAUUGCUGGGCUUACGAGGCCUCGCAGUGCCGUAGGGAAGCCGUAAACAGACCGCCUGGGAGUACGCCGCAAGGC
rnacentral:rRNA from 1 species